rnacentral:rRNA from 1 species
AAUCAAUUAAACUGAUCUCCUAGUAAAAAAGCUAGAAUUACAACAUAAGACCAGAAGACCCUGUGAAGCUUAAAUAAAACUAUUAAACCAUAUAAUAACUACUUUCGGUUGGGGCGACCUUGGAAAAAAAGAGAACUUCCAAAUAAAAUGACUAUACCUCAUAACCCAAACAGGCCAACAAGCCAAAAAUUGACCCAGCAUAGCUGAUAAUUGAACCAAGUUACUCCAGGGAUAACAGCGCAAUCUUCUUCAAGAGCCCAUAUCAAAAAGAAGGUUUACGACCUCGAUGUUGGAUCAGGACAUCCUAAUGGUGCAGCCGCUAUUAAGGGUUCGUUUGUUCAACGAUUAAUAGUCCUCSGUKGAUCUGA